rnacentral:lncRNA from 1 species
AGCUUUAACUUUUACGUUAUAAUACUGGGUUACUCUUUGCCGAUAUGCUGCCAUCCAAACUGGAGCUUGUUGUCGGACUUCUGAAAGUAGGUCUAAAUUGACUCUCCGACAUUCUGAAUUGUUCGACUCAUUAUACUGUUCAACUCUUGCUGAUGAUAAUCCGAUCUCAAGUAGAAUCAUCGCUUCCAUUCCAUAGAUCAGGUUGAACGAUGAUUCUCCCAUCAAUAUAUGAGGAGUUG